rnacentral:rRNA from 1 species
UGGGGAAUAUUGCGCAAUGGGGGCAACCCUGACGCAGCCAUGCCGCGUGAAUGAAGAAGGCCUUCGGGUUGUAAAGUUCUUUCGGUAGCGAGGAAGGCAUUUAGUUUAAUAAACUGGAUGAUUGACGUUAACUACAGAAGAAGCACCGGCUAACUCCGUGCCAGCAGCCGCGGUAAUACGGAGGGUGCGAGCGUUAAUCGGAAUAACUGGGCGUAAAGGGCACGCAGGCGGUGACUUAAGGUGAGGUGUGAAAGCCCCGGGCUUAACCUGGGAAUUGCAUUUCAUACUGGGUCGCUAGAGUACUUUAGGGAGGGGUAGAAUUCCACGUGUAGCGGUGAAAUGCGUAGAGAUGUGGAGGAAUACCGAAGGCGAAGGCAGCCCCUUGGGAAUGUACUGACGCUCAUGUGCGAAAGCGU